rnacentral:rRNA from 1 species
GAUGAACGCUGGCGGCGUGCCUAAUACAUGCAAGUCGAGCGAACGGACGAGAAGCUUGCUUCUCUGAUGUUAGCGGCGGACGGGUGAGUAACACGUGGAUAACCUACCUAUAAGACUGGGAUAACUUCGGGAAACCGGAGCUAAUACCGGAUGAUAUGUUGAACCGCAUGGUUCAAAAGUGAAAGAGGGUCUUGCUGUCACUUAUAGAUGGAUCCGCGCUGCAUUAGCUAGUUGGUAAGGUAACGGCUUACCAAGGCAACGAUGCAUAGCCGAUCUGAGAGGGUGAUCGGCCACACUGGAACUGAGACACGGUCCAGACUCCUACGGGAGGCAGCAGUAGGGAAUCUUCCGCAAUGGGCGAAAGCCUGACGGAGCAACGCCGCGUGAGUGAUGAAGGUCUUCGGAUCGUAAAACUCUGUUAUUAGGGAAGAACAUAUGUGUAAGUAACUGUGCACGUCUUGACGGUACCUAAUCAGAAAGCCACGGCUAACUACGUG